AAGAUUGCCUUUUCUGGUCAGUUUAAAAAAAAUCACAGGAAUGCAGUUCAUCAUGAUAUGUCUAACGUUGGUUUUGCACAAAUAGGGCUAAGAAAACAAAUUUCAUACAAUACUAAAAA